rnacentral:rRNA from 1 species
GAUGAACGCUGGCGGCGUGCCUAAUACAUGCAAGUCGAGCGAACAGACGAGGAGCUUGCUCCUCUGACGUUAGCGGCGGACGGGUGAGUAACACGUGGAUAACCUACCUAUAAGACUGGGAUAACUUCGGGAAACCGGAGCUAAUACCGGAUAACAUGUUGAACCGCAUGGUUCAACAGUGAAAGACGGUCUUGCUGUCACUUAUAGAUGGAUCCGCGCCGCAUUAGCUAGUUGGUAAGGUAACGGCUUACCAAGGCAACGAUGCUUAGCCGACCUGAGAGGGUGAUCGGCCACACUGGACCUGAGACACGGUCCAGACUCCUACGGGAGGCAGCAGUAGGGAAUCUUCCGCAAUGGGCGAAAGCCUGACGGAGCAACGCCGCGUGAGUGAAGAAGGUCUUCGGAUCGUAAAACUCUGUUAUUAGGGAAGAACAAAUGUGUAAGUAACUAUGCACGUCUUGACGGUACCUAAUCAGAAAGCCACGGCUAACUACGUG